rnacentral:rRNA from 1 species
GAUGAACGCUGGCGGCGUGCCUAAUACAUGCAAGUCGAGCGAACGGACGAGAAGCUUGCGUCUCUGAUGUUAGCGGCGGACGGGCGAGUAACACGUGGAUAACCUACCUAUAAGACUGGGAUAACUUCGGGAAACCGGAGCUAAUACCGGAUAAUAUUUUGAACGGCAUGGUUCAAAAGUGAAAGACGGUCUUGCUGUCACUUAUAGAUGGAUCCGGGCUGCAUAAGCUAGUUGGUAAGGUAACGGCUUACCAAGGCGACGAUGCGUAGCCGACCGGAGAGGAGGAUCAGCCACACUGGAACUGAGACACGGUCCAGACUCCUACGGGAGGCAGCAGUGGGGAAUAUUGGACAAAGGGCGCAAGCCUGAUCCAGCCAUACCGCGUGGGUGAAGAAGGCCUUCGGGUUGUAAAGCCCUUUUGUUGGGAAAGAACAGCAGCAGGUUAAUACCCCGCUGUUCUGACGGUACCCAAAGAAUAAGCACCGGCUAACUUCGUG